rnacentral:rRNA from 1 species
AUUCUUCGGAUGAAGACUUUUGUGACUGAGCGGCGGACGGGUGAGUAACGCGUGGGUAACCUGCCUCAUACAGGGGGAUAACAGUUAGAAAUGACUGCUAAUACCGCAUAUGCCAUAAGUAUCGCAUGAUGCAGUGUGAAAAACUCCGGUGGUAUAAGAUGGACCCGCGUUGGAUUAGCUAGUUGGUGAGGUAACGGCCCACCAAGGCGACGAUCCAUAGCCGACCUGAGAGGGUGACCGGCCACAUUGGAACUGAGACACGGUCCAAACUCC